rnacentral:rRNA from 1 species
GAUGAACGCUGGCGGCGUGCCUAAUACAUGCAAGUCGAGCGAACAGACGAGGAGCUUGCUCCUCUGACGUUAGCGGCGGACGGGUGAGUAACACGUGGAUAACCUACCUAAAAGACUGGGAUAACUACGGGAAACCGGAGCUAAUACCGGAUAAUAUAUUGAACCGCAUGGUUCAAUAGUGAAAGACGGCUUUGCUGUAACUUAUAGCUGGUUCUGCGCCGCAUUAGCUAGUUGGUAAGGUAAAGGGUUACCAAGGGUACGAUGCGUAGCCGAGCUGAGGGACUGAUCGGCCACACUGGAACUGAGACACGGUCCAGACUCCUACGGGAGGCAGCAGUAGGGAAUCUUCCGCAAUGGGCGAAAGCCUGACGGAGCAACGCCGCGUGAGUGAUGAAGGUCUUCGGAUCGUAAAACUCUGUUAUUAGUGAAGAACAAAUGUGUAAGUAACUAUGCACGUCUUGACGGUACCUAAUCAGAAAGCCACGGCUAACUACGUG